rnacentral:rRNA from 1 species
ACUCCUACGGGAGGCAGCAGUGGGGAAUAUUGCACAAUGGGCGCAAGCCUGAUGCAGCCAUGCCGCGUGUAUGAAGAAGGCCUUCGGGUUGUAAAGUACUUUCAGCAGUGAGGAAGGCGAGUACGUUAAUAGCGUGCUCGUUUGACGUUAGCUGCAGAAGAAGCACCGGCUAACUCCGUGCCAGCAGCCGCGGUAAUACGGAGGGGUGCGAGCGUUAAUCGGAAUUACUGGGCGUAAAGCGCAUGCAGGUGGUUUGUUAAGUCAGAUGUGAAAGCCCGGGGCUCAACCUCGGAAUUGCAUUUGAAACUGGCAGACUAGAGUACUGUAGAGGGGGUAGAAUUUCAGGUGUAGCGGUGAAAUGCGUAGAGAUCUGAAGGAAUACCGAGUGGCGAAGGCGGCCCCCUGGACAAAGACUGACGCUCA